UUUUGACCCUCCGGCCCUACGAGAUUCCGGUUUUUCCCUUCCACAGGGUAGGGACGUUUUUGGGGAAACUCCUGUGAGGUCACUGUGACUCACCCUGAAAGCAAGCUCUUUCUGCUCAGUGGGGUUGGGGAUACAGGAAGGAACAAGGCAGAGAUUAUCAUCAGUGGUAAACUGAAGCACAGAGAAGUCAAGCCACUUGCCUGAAGUCACACAGCUGGCAAAUACUGAGUCUGGGAUUCAGCACAGAGCCUGGCAAGAAUGAACUGGCCCAUAAAGGAUUGAGAACUGGGUUCUCUCUGAGCCACAUUUAUUAACUGGGAGCUUGAGACUGUCACUCUUCUUCCAGCCUCAGAAAACCCCACCUGGCUGGAGUCGGACCCCCCUGGGCUGGAGGUAGGCUUCCUUGCAUUGGGCCACAAGCUGUGGGCCAGUCAGGAUGAAAGCAGGGCCCUGAAUUCAUCGAGGGCUGCCCCGUUCUCCCUGCCAUGCCACAGAUCCUGCUAUCAGGGCCAGAUCUGGGCUUUGUGCCAGUCCUGGACCUGCUGCCAACAGGGGGGCCGUAGAACACCUGCGCUCAGGACUGUGAGCCAGUCCCAGCCCUUCUCACCUAUUCCUGGGAACGAAUCUAAAAUCCCCCAUCACUGUCCCCAGGAAGGCAAAUAAAGUCUUUCAACAUGCAGUUCCUGGGUUCAU